rnacentral:rRNA from 1 species
UACGGAGGGUGCGAGCGUUGUCCGGAAUCACUGGGCGUAAAGCGCACGUAGGCGGACUCUUAAGUCGGUGGUGAAAUCCUGGAGCUCAACUCCAGAACUGCCUUCGAUACUGAGAGUCUUGAGUCCGGGAGAGGUGAGUGGAACUGCGAGUGUAGAGGUGAAAUUCGUAGAUAUUCGCAAGAACACCAGUGGCGAAGGCGGCUCACUGGCCCGGUACUGACGCUGAGGUGCGAAAGCGUGGGGAGCAAACAGG